rnacentral:rRNA from 1 species
GAUAAACGCUGGCGGCGUGCAUGAGACAUGCAAGUCGAACGGGCGACUCGGGCUUGCUCGAGUCGCUAGUGGCGAACGGCUGAGUAACGCGUAGGUGACCUGCCCCGAAGUGGGGGAUAACUGCCCGAAAGGGUGGCUAAUACCGCAUGUGGUCACACGUUCGUUCGUGUGAGCAAAGCAGCGAUGCGCUUCGGGAGUGGCCUGCGUCCGAUUAGCUCGNGGUGGGGUAACGGCUCACCAAGGCGACGAUCGGUAGGUGGUCUGAGAGGACGAUCACCCAGACUGGGACUGAGACACGGCCCAGACUCCUACGGGGAGGCAGCAGUCGGGAAUUUUGCCCAAUGGACGAAGUACUGAGGCAGCAACGCCGCGUGAGGGAUGAAGGCCUUCGGU